AGUGAACGCUGGCGGUAGGCCUAACACAUGCAAGUCGAACGGCAGCACAGUAAGAGCUUGCUCUUACGGGUGGCGAGUGGCGGACGGGUGAGGAAUACAUCGGAAUCUACUUUUUCGUGGGGGAUAACGUAGGGAAACUUACGCUAAUACCGCAUACGACCUACGGGUGAAAGCAGGGGAUCUUCGGACCUUGCGCGAUUGAAUGAGCCGAUGUCGGAUUAGCUAGUUGGCGGGGUAAGGGCCCACCAAGGCGACGAUCCGUAGCUGGUCUGAGAGGGUGAUCAGCCACACUGGAACUGAGACACGGUCCAGACUCCUACGGGAGGCAGCAGUGGGGAAUAUUGGACAAUGGGCGCAAGCCUGAUCCAGCCAUACCGCGUGGGUGAAGAAGGCCUUCGGGUUGUAAAGCCCUUUUGUUGGGAAAGAAAAGCAGCAGGUUAAUACCCCGCUGUUCUGACGGUACCCAAAGAAUAAGCACCGGCUAACUUCGUG
rnacentral:rRNA from 1 species